CAAGAGGUAGUUUAAAUAAAAUAUUAAUUUUGGGGAUUAAUGAUAAAAAGAAUUUUUUUCUCUUGA
rnacentral:tRNA from 1 species